CACAGAGGAUCAGCAGAAUCACCCAGAAGCCAGCCCCUCCUGAGCAAAGCAUAGCUUCAGCUCGCCCUCUGAGACCAGUGUUAACCAAGCUGGGAGCACAUCAGCUACUGGCCCGAAGAAAUGUUUGUGGAAGAUUUCUAAAAACGCAUUUCUGCCUCAGCAAAUUAUCUCCAAGAACACAGUGAGUAUGAAGAUAAGUAAGGGAGAGAAAUGAAUGAGAAACUAAAUUGAUUACUCCUGAGAUGGCCGGUGGCAAUGGCUUGCUCUGGGUAUAAAGAAGAGAUUUCACCACAAGCUUCUCCCCAGAGGUGGAAGGGGCAGAUCAGGUUGCUUUUCACUCCUGCCCCACCCUGAGGAAUGGACUCAGUGACACUGCAGGCCUUUCUCUCCCCUGAUAUCUUUGAGUCAAGGCGCCGUGUUGACCAAGUGUGUCAGAUAAAGGACUACAAAAGUAUUGUCCAAAUUGCCCAGGGAGGAUGUGGCCAACAUUCCUAGGUGUGUUUGCAAAAAUGGCUGAGAGACUAGGUGCAAAGUGAGGGAUGCUGGCAAAGCACGCCUGUAUUUGGAGACCAGUGGUUCCCUCCGGCCACAGGUACUUCUGAUGAAUCUCUUCCAACAGAGUAAUACACACACCUUCAAACUUAACUGCAGAGGAAGAAUCCUACGCUCAAAACCGCACAGAAUGAGUCCUAUCCAGAGAUUCAAAAACAAAACACCUAUCAGGAAACUUUGGAAGCCCUCGUCUGUUUCAGUUUGUAGGAGUGACUGCCUUUCAGGGGAAAGAAUCUGAUGGGAAGGAUGAGAAACAAAAUAUGCUGAAAUUCAAGAACCGGACCUGAAUAACUGCCUGUGUGACUCGUCAAAGCUGAGCCCCCUCCACACAGUGAGCCGGGCCCGUCACGUGGUGCCCUGCAGCCUGGGUGGAGCAUCCUGACCCCUUCACUGGAAAAAUGCGGGAAGGGCCUGUCCCCUCUCAGCUCCCCUGCCUGCGCUCUGGGUCUUUCCGACUCUGUAAAAGACAAUCAAAUAAAAAUGCUAUUUUCCCAUAAUCA
rnacentral:lncRNA from 1 species